AUGGAGAGCAAUAGAGCUCCUGGGCCUGAUAACAUACCAGCAGAGUUUUAUCACUCUUGUUGGGAUUUUGUUAAGGUAGAUAUCAUGCGCAUCUUUGAGGCCUUCCAUACUGGAACAUUGGAUGUUGCCCGGCUGGACUAUGGUGUAAUUACACUGAUUCCUAAAAUGACAGGGGCUAAGAAAAUCCAGCAAUUCCGCCCCAUUUGCCUCCUUCGCUGCCCCUAUAAACUAAUUAAGGUGUUGGAUAACCGUGUAGCUAUCUACGCGGAUAAGCUGAUUAGCCGUCACCAAAAUGCCUUCAUUAAAAACAGAAACAUCAUGGAUGGAGUUCUGUCUUUGCAUGAGGUUCUACAUCACACUCACAAUAAGAGAAAAAUUGGAGUGGUUUUAAAGCUUGAUUUCGGAAAAGCUUAUGACAAAAUCAAUUGGGAUUUCCUUCUGGAAUGUCAUAGGAUGAGGGGUUUUAAUGAUAAAUGGUGCGGAUGGAUUAAAAAUAUCCUGAAUAACGGCACGGUGAGCAUUAAAUUGAAUAAUGAGACUGGGCCUUACUUUGUGAGCCGCAAAGGGGUUCGCCAGGGCGAUCCCCACUCACCCUUCUUGUUUAACCUAGCGGUUGAGUGUCUCUCGAAGAUGAUUUUCAAUGCUCAAAAAGAGAAAUUGAUUACUGGCUUAGCCUCUGACCUUAUUGAGGGGGGUGUUGCCGUGUUGCAAUACGCAGAUGACACGGUGUUAUGCUUUGAACAUGACACCUCUGCUGCAAUAAACCUCAAACUGCUUCUUUAUAUGUUUGAACUUAUGUCAGGUCUGAAAAUAAACUAUCUCAAAAGUGAAAUCCUGUGUGGGGGGGUGACAACAGUAUCCUAA
rnacentral:rRNA from 1 species